rnacentral:lncRNA from 1 species
CAAUAUAAUGUGGUUUAAUGCCAUGUUGAUUAUAUAUUAGAAAAUCAGCUGUAUAACUACCUAUUCUAUGUGUGUUCGAUAUCAAUAAAUAAGAUGAUUAGUUCAAAAGGUAAUAUGUGAUUUUUUGUACAUUUUCCAAUUAAUUGUUAGCAUUGAUAGAAACAAUUUGAUAAAAUGAUAAAUACUAAGUUAUUGAACGUUACUGCUAGGUUGGGAAUACCAUCGUUCUCAAUUGCUAUUUAAUUUGUAGUACAACAUUUGAAAUUUUUGUUUGAUUACAUACUGUUUGUGCCAUAUGAAAUUCAGAAGAACAAAAAUUCUAACUGGACAAUAUCUUUAAAUGACAGUGUGAUAACAGUGAGAGUAUAAGUCCUUAAGAAAUUAAACUGAUGCAUUCAUGAAAUAAUUACUGGACAAUUAUAAACAUACAAAUAUGUAUUUAAAAUUUCAACAUGUUGUAGUUUAUAUGUUUCUACAUUAAUUUGUAUUUGUGAUGUUGGGUUG